GUCGAACGAGUUCUCGUUGAUGAUCGGUGCUUGCACCGAGAUUCAACAUGGAACGAGUGGCGGACGGGUGAGUAACACGUGGGUAACCUGCCCUUAAGUGGGGGAUAACAUUUGGAAACAGAUGCUAAUACCGCAUAGAUCCAAGAACCGCAUGGUUCUUGGCUGAAAGAUGGCGUAAGCUAUCGCUUUUGGAUGGACCCGCGGCGUAUUAGCUAGUUGGUGAGGUAAUGGCUCACCAAGGCGAUGAUACGUAGCCGAACUGAGAGGUUGAUCGGCCACAUUGGGACUGAGACACGGCCCAAACUCCUACGGGAGGCAGCAGUAGGGAAUCUUCCACAAUGGACGCAAGUCUGAUGGAGCAACGCCGCGUGAGUGAAGAAGGCUUUCGGGUCGUAAAACUCUGUUGUUGGAGAAGAAUGGUCGGCAGAGUAACUGUUGCCGGCGUGACGGUAUCCAACCAGAAAGCCACGGCUAACUACGUGCCAGCAGCCGCGGUAAUACGUAGGUGGCAAGCGUUAUCCGGAUUUAUUGGGCGUAAAGCGAGCGCAGGCGGUUUUUUAAAUCUGAUGUGAAAGCCCUCGGCUUAACCGAGGAAGCGCAUCGGAAACUGGGAAACUUGAGUGCAGAAGAGGACAGUGGAACUCCAUGUGUAGCGGUGAAAUGCGUAGAUAUAUGGAAGAACACCAGUGGCGAAGGCGGCUGUCUGGUCUGUAACUGACGCUGAGGCUCGAAAGCAUGGGUAGCGAACAGGAUUAGAUACCCUGGUAGUCCAUGCCGUAAACGAUGAAUGCUAGGUGUUGGAGGGUUUCCGCCCUUCAGUGCCGCAGCUAACGCAUUAAGCAUUCCGCCUGGGGAGUACGACCGCAAGGUUGAAACUCAAAGGAAUUGAC
rnacentral:rRNA from 1 species